rnacentral:lncRNA from 1 species
UUCCUCGUCUUCCUCACCCUACCCUUCCUAUCAAACCUUAAUCCAAGCUGCCACCAAACCCCACCGCCUGAGGGUGGUGGCGGCCCCUCCAACCACUCCAAAAUUAACGUCACAACUACCUCUCAUUUCCCUCAUCACUAAUCCCCCACCAUAUUCCCUCGAAUCAAACCUAGAAGCUUCGAAUAUAUGUUUGAAACUCUGGUCUCAAAACAUAAACUUGUCUAAAUGAGCCCAAAUUGAUAUUAGACAGUCUCCUCAACCUCCUCUUCUUAAAUAUGAGGUUAUUUUCCUUCGACUCUCACCAGGCCGCCCUCAAUUCCACAUCUAGGGUUUUCGACUUUUAUGCUUGUUUGAAGUUUUUGGUUCUGAAGAUUUUAGUUAAUGUUAUACGUUUGUUUUGGACAAAACUAACCUAUAACAUUAAUUAGAAUUCAACUCCAUAAAUCGAAUAAAUUUUAAGAGCCAUUCAGUAAGUCACUUUCUCAUUUUUAGUUUCAAUUUAGUUCGCUUCUUGUUCUAUCUUCUAAUUAAGCGUAAUCUUUAGUUUCCGAAUAUUUUAGUUAGUAAAUUGGUUGCAAGUAAUUUUUUCAGUUAGAUUAUUAGUAAAGUAUUGGGUAUAAUAUUAGAUUACGCUUGUUUCUGAUUAAUUCAUAGUUUAAUUUUCAUUUUUGUCUAGUUUGUUUGAUUUUUGUCUUGUUUAAAUUCUAGUUGGUCAGUUAUCAGUAUAAUCGUUAGGAGUUAAUUUAGGUUUAUUUAGCUUAGUUGAUUAGUUUCAGUAGAAUAACCUUGUUGAAAACUGUUGAGUCUUGUUAAAUUUGCAGUCAGAUAUUGUUUUCAACUUCAUAUUAUUUUACCUUGAUUCUGUGAUAGUUAAUUCAAUUGUUAGGAUAAUUAAUUUUCAGUUUAGUUAAUAUCAGUUGGGACUGAUUUUGGUUACAGUUGAAUUGGUUUUUGUUGGGUAGUAAUUUCAGGGGGGGGGGGGUUCAAGGGUAGUUUAGGGAUGGAAAAUGGUAGUUUCUUUAGGAAUAGUAAAUUCAAGGUAGGGUUAAGGGUAGUAUAGUAUUUCUUAGGCUAAAAGAGCACCCUAGAGCCUUCUAGAAGGGUGUCUUAGUGUAGGUUUCAGCAAAUUAGAGGGACUUGCUUAUUUAGCAAGUCAAAAAUAGAGGGACUAAAAAGAAAACCCUAAAAUCUGAUUUACUCUCUUUAGGUUUGCCUAUAACUAGUGAGUCAUUUGCUUUGUGAAGAGGAUCUUCAACCUUUCAGCGUAAAAUAUCCCCAUAAGAGCUCUUUUUCUUUCUCUCCAGAAGUCAUAUUAGUAAUUCCAAUACAAAAAAAGAGGCAAAAUAAAUUAGAAAACAAAUAGAAGAAAAUCAUUGUUUUAUUGAAUGAACAUGGAUUGAUUCUGGUUGCUAGUGAAUUUCUUUACAUUUUCGUUUUAACUGAGUUGGGUUUCUGGUGGUUUGGUUUAGUGUAUUUUCAGACCACUCGGGUGCAAAUUGAUUUAGUUUUGGUUGGUUUUUUCACAUUUGCAUUUGCGUAUUGUGUGUUGCUGGGUUCAAUUGACAAUAGUCUAAGGUUGUUUGUUACUCAUUCCUGUUGUUGCUGUGAUAACAGGCGGCUGACCUUUCUCAUUUGAUUUUGUUUGAAUCCAGGGACACACUCACGUUUCUUUAAUGUAGCACCCUGAUUGAAAGAAAAACAUGUUUGCAAUGAAGUGUGCAGAGUUUUUCUUUAAAUCUGACUGCUGUGAUAACAAGCUGCUGACAUUUCUCAUUUGAUUUUGUUUGAAUCCGGGUAUACACUCACGUUUCUUCAAUGUAACACCCUGAUUGAAAGAAAAACAUGUUUGCAAUGAAGUGUGCAGAGUUUUUCUUUAAAUCUGAUUGUGCCUAAUAUGUGAAUGGUUGGUCUAUCAUUAAGAAAUUAGCUUCAGUUGGUCUAGUUAGCUUCUGUUAUUAAUUUUGAUUUUGAAGUUUGUGUUUAGGAACAAUGUUAUAUGGUUAGAAUGGAUCAUGGAUUGUGUAGAACUCUAUACUGGGAAUUCGAGUUAAUACUUUAGUCUUAGUUAGUUUUGUUUUAGCUUUGAUUGGUUAUUGUAUAAUCUCCUGCUAAAAUUAGAGAAAAGGUUGAAACAUGGUUUGAAAUUGCAGUAGUUCUUUUUCAAAAUCAAUAGUUGGUUGAAUGUGUUAUUAAACAAUUGAAAUAUGAAACUAGGUCUGUUAAUUAUGAUAGACAAAUAUGGUUUAAUUGUAGUGAUUAUUUUGGUUGAUUAAUUGUUGACCAUGCUUUAGAAAUCACAUUCCCCUCGCUGGGGUUCGACCCCUAGUCCACUCGAACGAUUGAUGAGCAGGCUUCACGCAAGAAGCCCACCUGCUAAAUCUGGAAUGCUGGCAGGGAUUUUGGCAGUUGACUUGGGUCAGCCGUUGGCCCAAUUUGAGCCCAUUUAGAUUCAAUCCCCCAGCCCUAUAAAACACUGCUGCCUCUGUCAAUUGGGCGCAUUGGCCUAGCCAUUUGGGUCCAGUUCACAUUUUCUUUCAAAUAAUUUAAUUGGUAUUUGGAAUUAGGGUUUUGAGUUAUGUAGCGGGUUUUAAACUAAAAGGAUCGUCCUUUUGUUUGGAUCCGGACUUGAACUUAAUGCCCGGAUUAUAAAUAUAAUUAAUUAGGAUCUUUCUUUUAUUAUUUGAGACAAAUAUCCAAAAAUAUAGAAAAUAUAGCUACCCUUUUAGGUUUAUCCUUUAAAACAAAACGAGACGAGCCUCGCCCAACAAAAGUACAAAAUGCGGGGCCCCCAAAAAAGAUUCAAAAAUAUUUAGAAAAUCGGGAAGGGCCGCUUAGCGAAUUUCACGACCCUUCCAAAUGAUUACAAUGCGUUAGACUCUAUUAGACGGGCCUUUAAUAAAAUUACAUUCCUAAAUAUGGGUGAGAAUUUUAUGCGGCCCAAAUUCAAAUCCUAAAAUGUUGAAUAAAGUGUGUCUAGGAUUGCGGGUUCAUUUGAUGCGGCGCAAUCCAAAAACAUACUCUAAACGACGUUCACUUUCUCUUAUAUAAAUAUUAUGCUAAAUAAAAGGGUUAAGCAUAAAAUUGGCACAUAGACAAUUCAUGUAUUAAAAUCAUAUUUUAGCUGUUCAUAACAAUUUAAGCGACCGUGCUAGAACCACGGGAUCCAAGGGUUCCUAACACAUUCCCUAGGGUCAACAGAAUUCCUUAUUUAGAAUUUCUAGUUCGCAGACUCCAUUCAGGAAGUUGAAGCUUUUCUCGGUUCGGGAUUCAAGCUAAACUGGUGACUUGGGACACCAAAAACCAAACUUAUCCCAAGUGGCGACUCUAAAUAAAUAUUCUCGAUCCGAAUAAUGUCACUUUAAAAGGAAAAACUCCCUUAUACAUUUAUCCUUCAGGGUAGGUGUGUAAAUAGGAGGUGUGACAGUGAGGCAGGGAACCAUAAGUACGAAUAGUAAUUACAAAGGGAUGGAGAAUAUACAACCUCUAACAUUUGGGUACCUCUGAGGCCUGAAAUACAUGAUACAUAUGUAUAUAUACAUAAACUUUUAAAACCUACACUCUAUAGGCAUCAUCAUCAUCAUCGUCAUAUCGUACCCGGCCGAAUAGGCUCGGUAGAAUCGUACCCGUACACGUAGAGCUCGGUAAAACCCAACUCAUCAAUGGUUGCACAAUAGGUACCGUACCCGGCCAAAUAUAUAUAUAUAUAUAUAUAUAUAUAUAUAUAUAAUGCAUGCUCGACUAUACCCGGCCAUCAUAAGGCUCGGUAGAAUUGUACCCGGCAACGUGGGGCUCAGUAAAAUCCAAUUGAUCAGUUGUUGCACAAUAGGUGCCGUACCCGGCCGACUAUAGCACGGCUCGGUAGAUUAAAAGAGAUACAUAUAUAUAUAUAAUGCAUGCUCAACUCUUGGGAACAUGUUCUAAACCUUUCAGAGUGACGUAAGGUCGGUAUCCUUUGUACAUGUUAUUAGGACUAACUCUUCACCAUGAACCAUAUAAGAAUUGGGAAGUACCAACAACAUUUUUAACAUAAAAAUAAGAGAAGCAACAUCAUCAUCAAUCAUUCCAUAAGAGGGAAAAUAAUGUAAGUACUGCUAGCUUCUAAGAGUAGAGUAUCAUUGGAAGCUCGUUCAUUACAUUACGUACAAUCGGAGUCGUGCAAAAGAAGAAAAAAGAUAGACUCACAUACCUUGUAUAUACUGUCAAACCUCAAGCUAUGUAAAUGGAACAAUGUAAGUACUACUAGCUUCUAAGAGUAGAGUAUCUUUGGAAGCUCGUUCAUUACAUUACGUACAAUUGGAGUCGUGCAAAAGAAGGAAAAAGAUAGACUCACAUACCUUGUAUAUACUGUCCAACCUCAAGCUAUGUAAAUGUCACGACUCCUUAGUCUACAAUAGGAGAAAUGACACUAUCGUUAACGUUUAAGCGUCGUAACUAUUAUGUACCGACCACAACCUAUUUUACGAUGAAACGAAUAGCACCUCCCCUAAUUGUAUGACUUCACACAAGUGAAAACAAUCACCAACAGCCCAAACAACAUCAAUGUUAAUCAUAUUGAGCCUCCUAAAAUAGUCCACCAACUAAUAACAUUACUACCAAGCCUUUCGUUAUAUUUCACAAGUUCUAUCUUCAAUGAUUUAGCCGAAACUUGGAUAAUCUUAAAUACACUUAGAGUAAGAGGUUCCUUACCUUAAGACAGAAAGAACAUUGUCAUGUUGGGUAUAAUGGACACAGGGAGCUGCCAUGGGUAUCUCCGAGGACUUGAGCUAAGGGAUUAUUUACUGAACGUCCCAUACUUUACCUAUCAUUCGGUGAAUUGCCCCUUUCCAACUCGAAUCUGACCUUAAUUGACCACGAAAUAUCCCUCCAAUUCUUCCCCAACAAUGAGGAAGUGAAACUAGCAAUCAAUUAGGGUUUUUCAGUACUAGAAUUACUUUAGAAGGAUUGAAAUCACAUAUUGUUGAUUAUAAGAGCUUGAGUGAGUAUUAACAGAACAUAAACCCCUUAAAACAACCUCCCACGUGAGCUGGAACAACAUAAAAAUGAGCAACAAUAAGAAGAACAAGAGACUUACUAGCGCCACGGGAUUUCCGACUUUUGAUUUGUGUUGUUUGCCCUUUUUUGGUCUUGAAUCUUGAGAGAACCUUGAGAGGAUGUUUCUAGGGUUCUAAAGUCUGAAUAUACUGAAAAGAAUGACUUAAAAUAGGUUGGAGGCAUCAUAUAUAUAUAUAUAUAUAUAUAUAUAUAACCAAAUGUCUUAAACCGUAUAAGUGGGCCCCAUAGAGAGGUGCUUGGCGCAGUCUCUCAAAAACGUGAAUAUCUCUCUGCUCCGAGAUCGUAUCGAUGAACGGUUUAAUGCAUUGCAAUUGGACUCUUAGAUAUUAAAUAUGGUGGGUAGAUCACCCCGUAAUUCCAAGUAAAUUGGGAGAAAAUCUUAGUAACAUUUGACCUAAUGUUUAAGUAAAAUUAUGAACCUAAGUUGCGAAAACUUUUGUCAACUUUUGCUUCAAAACUCGUUUGGCUUCGAGACUUAUGAUACAAGUAUUAUAUGAUUCAAAUACUUUAUACAUGACCUCUUGAGUGUAUUAAGAACCUCUAGGUUUACUAGAAAAUGAGGCUGACAACAUCCUUAAUUCGUUUAACUUCUAAUACUUAUUAACCACUCUUAUACACCUUUGUAUCAUUUAAGACCAAUAAGUUUAACUUUUAUCAUCUUAAAGAUAAUCUCUUUAUGGAUUUACGUCGACUACCUUAUGGCAUGAACUAACAUGCAUGAAUAGGGGUUGUAACAGUUUAUAGAUGGGCUCGACUUGGUUUGAUGUUAAAUUUAAAGUAAUGGAUAUAUCUGCCACAUACAAUCUGUUGUAGGGACAGUCGUGGAUACAUGCUACUGGGGCCAUAGCCUCUAUGUUAUACCAGGCCAUGAAGUUCUAAUUGAAUUAUCAAGAAAUAGUCAUUUUAAGUCAUUUUUUAAGAAUUGGACUGUUGCAUUGUCCUGGGCCCGUCGAGUUCCUGGGUAGCCUGGCAAUUAGCAUGAUCUAUUUUUAAAAUAAAUGUUAAGCAUUUAAGACAUUUUCAGUAUUUUGUUUUAGAAAUAAUUGCUCAAGUAUUCGAGCCGUACUUUUUUUAAUAUUUUCAAGAUUUAUUUAAUGCAUUGAAAUU